GACGAACGCUGGCGGCGUGCUUAACACAUGCAAGUCGAACGGAAAGGCCCUGCUUUUGUGGGGUGCUCGAGUGGCGAACGGGUGAGUAACACGUGAGUAACCUGCCCUUGACUUUGGGAUAACUUCAGGAAACUGGGGCUAAUACCGGAUAGGUGCUCCUGCUGCAUGGUGGGGGUUGGAAAGUUUCGGCGGUUGGGGAUGGACUCGCGGCUUAUCAGCUUGUUGGUGGGGUAGUGGCUUACCAAGGCUUUGACGGGUAGCCGGCCUGAGAGGGUGACCGGCCACAUUGGGACUGAGAUGCGGCCCAGGCUCCUACGGGAGGCAGCAGUGGGGAAUAUUGCACAAUGGGCGGAAGCCUGAUGCAGCAACGCCGCGUGCGGGAUGACGGCCUUCGGGUUGUAAACCGCUUUCGCCUGUGACGAAGCGUGAGUGACGGUAAUGGGUAAAGAAGCACCGGCUAACUACGUG
rnacentral:rRNA from 1 species